UACAGAGGUCCCAAGCGUUGUUCGGAUUCAUUGGGCGUAAAGCGCGCGUAGGUGGCCUCAUAAGUCCGCUGUGAAAGUCAAAGGCUCAACCUUUGAAAGCCGGUGGAUACUGUGAGGCUAGAGUACGGAAGAGGCGAGUGGAAUUCCUGGUGUAGCGGUGGAAUGCGCAGAUAUCAGGAGGAACACCAAUAGCGAAGGCAGCUCGCUGGGACGUUACUGACACUGAGGCGCGAAAGCGUGGGGAGCGAACAGG
rnacentral:rRNA from 1 species